rnacentral:lncRNA from 1 species
UCGGGACCCGCCUGGCCCGCAACGGCUGCUCCGCCCGCCGCCCGCCGCUCGGAACCGGGCCGCCAUGCCGCGCCCGUCGCUCCCGCCGUUGCCGCUGUGGGCGCCACUACUGCUGCUCGCCUGGCUGCGCCUUGGGGCAGCCCCUUCGGGCCCGGGUUCUCAAAAUUCAUUUCUGCAAAUAAUACUCCCAGAGAAACUCGAAGGAAAUACAAGUGAUAAUUCAGAAAUGGUGUUACCCUCGUACGGGGGACCCUAGAGGAUGUCACAUAUCACUGAAAACCUGCUACACUGCUGGCUCUUAGAGAAGAAAUUGAAAAUGCAUGUGCAACAAUCUCAAUGACCAGGUUACCCAAGCAGCGGUUUGCCCUAUUAAUAAAUGUCUGGAAGCUAAUGGCCACCACUUUAAGCACCCC